AUUAUGGAAAUCCAUACUUUAAUGUUCAUCAGGCACAGGAAGAUGGACGGAGCCUUGUAGCUCUGUGCUACUUAAACACUUAGUGGGAGAAUGCCACAAUGAAUUGGAUCCUUUGACCGUGCCUCUUUUUAACCCACUUUGCCAAAGGCAAAGCCUCUUUUUCAUCAGUAUAGCACCUUCAAUGUGUAGAUACCCUAGGAAAACCCAGGUUCUUAAGAUUAUUUGACUUUGAAGUCUUAUCUGAGGGAUACAUCAAAGUAUAAACAACAUGGAGGAGGCCAUGGAAUGAAGAAAGUUAAAGAGGCGCUGUGACAUUCAGCAUUGCAAUGACUCAAUUCCUCCAUGGAUUCACCUUAAGUAACUUGCUCAAGUUCACAGAUGAUGUCUGUGACAGAGCAGGGAACUUAACUUGUGUCUCCUAAGUUGUAGGUGAGUGCCCUAACAA